CCUACGGGAGGCAGCAGUGAGGAAUAUUGGUCAAUGGGCGCGAGCCUGAACCAGCCAAGUAGCGUGAAGGAUGACUGCCCUAAGGGUUGUAAACUUCUUUUAUAAAGGAAUAAAGUGAGGCACGUGUGCCUUUAUGAGUGUACUUUAUGAAUAAGGAUCGGCUAACUCCGUGCCAGCAGCCGCGGUAAUACGGAGGAUCCGAGCGUUAUCCGGAUUUAUUGGGUUUAAAGGGAGCGUAGAUGGGUUGUUAAGUCAGUUGUGAAAGUUUGCGGCUCAACCGUAAAAUUGCAAUUGAUACUGGCAGCCUUGAGUACAGUUGAGGUAGGCGGAAUGCGUGGUGUAGCGGUGAAAUGCUUAGAUAUCACGAAGAACUCCGAUUGCGAAGGCAGCAUACUAAACUGCCACUGACACUGAUGCUCGAAAGUGUGGGUAUCGAACAGGAUUAGAUACCCGAGUAGUC
rnacentral:rRNA from 1 species